rnacentral:rRNA from 2 species
GAUUAGAUACCGUCGUAGUCCCAACUAUAAACGAUACCAACCGAGUAUUUGGGAAGACACUAUCCCAGCGAUCUUCUCAGAACUCAAGGGAAACCUUAAGUCUUUGGGUUCUGGGGGGAGUAUAGUCGCAAGACCGAAACUUAAAGGAAUUGACGGAAAGGCACCACCAGGAGUGGAGUCUGCGGCUUAAUUCGACUCAACACGGGGAAACUCACCAGGUCAGGACACAAGUUUGAUUGACAGGUUAAUAGCCCUUUCUUGAUUGUGUGGUGGGUAGUGCAUGGCCGUUUCCAGUUCGUGGAGUGAUCUGUCUUGUUAAUUCAGAUAACGAACGAGACCUAAGCCUUUAACUAGCCGUAGGCCUUUUCCUUCGGGGAAGGGUUAGUUUGUCGGAACAGACUUCGGUUUGUUCCAAAACCUACGAGACUUUUGUCAGCUUCUUAAAGGGACUUCAUUCGUAAACUAGGAUGAGGAAGAUUUAGGCCAUAACAGGUCUGUGAUGCUCUUAGA